GGAGGAAAGCAGGGGAUCGCAAGACCUUGCGCUUUUGGAGCGGCCGAUGCCUGAUUAGCUAGUUGGUGAGGUAAAGGCUUACCAAGGCUUCGAUCAGUAGCUGGUCUGAGAGGACGACCAGCCACACUGGGACUGAGACACGGCCCAGACUCCUACGGGAGGCAGCAGUGGGGAAUUUUGGACAAUGGGGGAAACCCUGAUCCAGCCAUGCCGCGUGAGUGAAGAAGGCCUUCGGGUUGUAAAGCUCUUUCAGCCGGAACGAAAAGGUCACGGCUAAUACCUGUGACAAAUGACGGUACCGGAAGAAGAAGCACCGGCUAACUACGUGCCAGCAGCCGCGGUAAUACGUAGGGUGCAAGCGUUAAUCGGAAUUACUGGGCGUAAAGCGUGCGCAGGCGGUUUUGUAAGUCAGAUGUGAAAUCCCCGGGCUUAACCUGGGAACUGCGUUUGAAACUACAAAGCUAG
rnacentral:rRNA from 1 species